UUGGAGGGCAAGUCUGGUGCCAGCAGCCGCGGUAAUUCCAGCUCCAAUAGCGUAUAUUAAAGUUGUUGCAGUUAAAAAGCUCGUAGUUGAAUUUCGGGGUCAGUAGGUCGGUCGUGCCACUGGUAUGAGCUGGUUUUACUGAUUCCUCCCUCUUGAAGAACUGUAAUGCCAUUAAUUUGGUGUUGCAGGGAAUCAGGACUGUUACUUUGAAAAAAUUAGAGUGUUUAAAGCAGGCUUUAGCUUGAAUACAUUAGCAUGGAAUAAUGAAAUAGGACGUUUGAUCCUAUUUUGUUGGUUUCUAGGAUUGACGUAAUGAUUAAUAGGGAUAGUUAGGGGCAUUAGUAUUCAAUUGUCAGAGGUGAAAUUCUUGGAUUUAUUGAAGACUAACUACUGCGAAAGCAUUUGCCAAGGAUGUUUUCAUUAAUCAAGAACGAAAGUUAGGGGAUCGAAGACGAUCAGAUACCGUCGUAGUCUUAACCAUAAACUAUGCCGACUAGGGAUCGGACGAUGUUAAUUUUUUAAUGACUCGUUCGGCGCCUUACGGGAAAC
rnacentral:rRNA from 1 species